AGAGUUUGAUCCUGGCUCAGGACGAACGCUGGCGGCGCGCCUAACACAUGCAAGUCGAACGAGAGAGAAGGAGCUUGCUUCUUCGAUCGAGUGGCGAACGGGUGAGUAACGCGUGAGGAACCUGCCUCAAAGAGGGGGACAACAGUUGGAAACGACUGCUAAUACCGCAUAAGCCCACAGGUCGGCAUCGAUCUGAGGGAAAAGGAGCAAUCCGCUUUGAGAUGGCCUCGCGUCCGAUUAGCUAGUUGGUGAGGUAAUGGCCCACCAAGGCGACGAUCGGUAGCCGGACUGAGAGGUUGAACGGCCACAUUGGGACUGAGACACGGCCCAGACUCCUACGGGAGGCAGCAGUGGGGAAUAUUGCACAAUGGGGGAAACCCUGAUGCAGCGACGCCGCGUGGAGGAAGAAGGUCUUCGGAUUGUAAACUCCUGUUGUUGAGGAAGAUAAUGACGGUACUCAACAAGGAAGUGACGGCUAACUACGUGCCAGCAGCCGCGGUAAAACGUAGGUCACAAGCGUUGUCCGGAAUUACUGGGUGUAAAGGGAGCGCAGGCGGGAAGACAAGUUGGAAGUGAAAUCUAUGGGCUCAACCCAUAAACUGCUUUCAAAACUGUUUUUCUUGAGUAGUGCAGAGGUAGGCGGAAUUCCCGGUGUAGCGGUGGAAUGCGUAGAUAUCGGGAGGAACACCAGUGGCGAAGGCGGCCUACUGGGCACCAACUGACGCUGAGGCUCGAAAGUGUGGGUAGCAAACAGGAUUAGAUACCCUGGUAGUCCACACCGUAAACGAUGAUUACUAGGUGUUGGAGGAUUGACCCCUUCAGUGCCGCAGUUAACACAAUAAGUAAUCCACCUGGGGAGUACGACCGCAAGGUUGAAACUCAAAGGAAUUGACGGGGGCCCGCACAAGCAGUGGAGUAUGUGGUUUAAUUCGAAGCAACGCGAAGAACCUUACCAGGUCUUGACAUCCCGAUGAAAAACCC
rnacentral:rRNA from 1 species